AGAGUUUGAUCAUGGCUCAGAGCGAACGCUGGCGGCAGGCCUAACACAUGCAAGUCGAGCGCCCCGCAAGGGGAGCGGCAGACGGGAGAGUAACACGUGGGAACGUACCCUUCAGUUCGGAACAACCCAGGGAAACUUGGGCUAAUACCGGAUACGUCCGUAAGGAGAAAGAUUUAUCGCUGAAGGAUCGGCCCGCGUCUGAUUAGCUAGUUGGUGGGGUAACGGCUCACCAAGGCGACGAUCAGUAGCUGGUCUGAGAGGAUGAUUAGCCUCACUGGGACUGAGACACGGCCCAGACUCCUACGGGAGGCAGCAGCGGGGAAUAUUGGACAAUGGGCGCAAGCCUGAUCCAGCCAUGCCGCGUGGAUGAUGAAGGCCCUAGGGUUGUAAAGUCCUUUCGGCGGGGAAGAUAAUGACGGUACCCGCAGAAGAAGCCCCGGCUAACUUCGUGCCAGCAGCAGCGGCGGUAAUAC
rnacentral:rRNA from 1 species